UUGUCAUGGAAGCUGGCGAAAAGGAUGUCGGAGCAUUGGGACAGAUGUUUAGGUUUAGGGAAAGAAUAAGAUUCAAGGGGGGACUGGUAGAGAUGUGUGAAUAUAUUUCUAUCAUUUUGUAAAUCUUGGAUUGUAAUAAAUUAAC